ensembl:snRNA U6 U6 spliceosomal RNA
GAAUGCCCACUUCGGCAGCUCACAUGCUAAAAUUGGAGCGGUAAGAUUAGCAUGGCCUCUGCGCAAGGAUGACAUGCAAAUUCGCUAAGCGUUCUGUGUUUUU